rnacentral:rRNA from 1 species
UACGUAGGGUGCAAGCGUUGUCCGGAAUUAUUGGGCGUAAAGAGCUCGUAGGCGGUCUGUCGCGUCGGCUGUGAAAUCCCGAGGCUCAACCUCGGGUCUGCAGUCGAUACGGGCAAACUUGAGUGUUGCAGGGGAGACUGGAAUUCCUGGUGUAGCGGUGAAAUGCGCAGAUAUCAGGAGGAACACCGAUGGCGAAGGCAGGUCUCUGGGCUGUAACUGACGCUGAGGAGCGAAAGCAUGGGGAGCGAACAGG